UACGAAGGGGGCUAGCGUUGUUCGGAAUUACUGGGCGUAAAGGGCGUGCAGGCGGAUCCGCCAGUCAGAGGUGAAAGCCCCGGGCUUAACCUGGGAAUUGCCUUUGAUACUGUGGAUCUAGAGUUCGGGAGAGGGUCGUGGAAUUCCCAGUGUAGAGGUGAAAUUCGUAGAUAUUGGGAAGAACACCAGUGGCGAAGGCGGCGACCUGGACCGACACUGACGCUGAGGCGCGAAAGCGUGGGGAGCAAACAGG
rnacentral:misc_RNA from 1 species